GGCUGAUGUUCCUGUGCUCCAUGAUGCAGUCGCUGAUCUUACAACACUAUUACCACUACAUCUUUGUGACUGGGCUGAAGUUUCGUACUGGGAUCAUGGGUGUCAUCUACAGGAAGGCUCUGGUUAUCACCAACUCAGUCAAACGUGCGUCCACUGUGGGGGAAAUUGUCAACCUCAUGUCAGUGGAUGCCCAGCGCUUCAUGGACCUUGCCCCCUUCCUCAAUCUGCUGUGGUCAGCACCCCUGCAGAUCAUCCUGGCGAUCUACUUCCUCUGGCAGGUGACUCUCCAAUCCUGACCUCUGCCUCCUUCCUCUGACAUGCUGCAGAAGUGGCAAGAGAGGAUUAUUCUGGAACUGGGCGCAUGGCACAUGCUUGUAGUCCCAGCUGCUCAGGUGGCUGAGGCAAGAGGAUCACUUGAGCCCAAGAGUUCUGGCUGCAGUGCGCCACGAUUGUGCCUGCGAAUAGCCACCACACUCCAGCCUGGGCAACAUAGCAAGACCUUGUCUCUAAAAAGAAACAA
rnacentral:sRNA from 1 species